UUCCCUUCCUUGCAUGUUUACCUUUUUUCAAGACAAUUAGCAAAAACACUUAAAAUGAUAUCGGCCAUCUCAGAAAUUUUAUAGAAAUCUUCAUGUAUAUCAGAAUUCCAUUUUCCUUUAUUAGGUUUUCUGACAAAUUAUGGGUUGCAAUUUUGUACAAUACUCCAAAACACAACAUGAACAUGAAACAACUUGGAAAAAGAAGCCAGAUUUG
rnacentral:misc_RNA from 1 species